UUACACAUGCAAGUCGAGCGGGGAAGGGUAGCUUGCUACCUGACCUAGCGGCGGACGGGUGAGUAAUGCUUAGGAAUCUGCCUAUUAGUGGGGGACAACAUUCCGAAAGGAAUGCUAAUACCGCAUACGCCCUACGGGGGAAAGCAGGGGAUCUUCGGACCUUGCGCUAAUAGAUGAGCCUAAGUCAGAUUAGCUAGUUGGUGGGGUAAAGGCCUACCAAGGCGACGAUCUGUAGCGGGUCUGAGAGGAUGAUCCGCCACACUGGGACUGAGACACGGCCCAGACUCCUACGGGAGGCAGCAGUGGGGAAUAUUGGACAAUGGGCGAAAGCCUGAUCCAGCCAUGCCGCGUGUGUGAAGAAGGCCUUUUGGUUGUAAAGCACUUUAAGCGAGGAGGAGGCUACUUGGAUUAAUACUCUAGGAUAGUGGACGUUACUCGCAGAAUAAGCACCGGCUAACUCUGUGCCAGCAGCCGCGGUAAUACAGAGGGUGCGAGCGUUAAUCGGAUUUACUGGGCGUAAAGCGUGCGUAGGCGGCUUUUUAAGUCGGAUGUGAAAUCCCUGAGCUUAACUUAGGAAUUGCAUUCGAUACUGGGAAGCUAGAGUAUGGGAGAGGAUGGUAGAAUUCCAGGUGUAGCGGUGAAAUGCGUAGAGAUCUGGAGGAAUACCGAUGGCGAAGGCAGCCAUCUGGCCUAAUACUGA
rnacentral:rRNA from 1 species